AGAGUUUGAUCCUGGCUCAGGACGAACGCUGGCGGCGUGCCUAAUACAUGCAAGUAGAACGCUGAAGAGAGGAGCUUGCUCUUCUUGGAUGAGUUGCGAACGGGUGAGUAACGCGUAGGUAACCUGCCUUGUAGCGGGGGAUAACUAUUGGAAACGAUAGCUAAUACCGCAUAACAAUGGAUGACAUAUGUCAUUUAUUUGAAAGGGGCAAUUGCUCCACUACAAGAUGGACCUGCGUUGUAUUAGCUAGUAGGUGAGGUAACGGCUCACCUAGGCGACGAUACAUAGCCGACCUGAGAGGGUGAUCGGCCACACUGGGACUGAGACACGGCCCAGACUCCUACGGGAGGCAGCAGUAGGGAAUCUUCGGCAAUGGGGGCAACCCUGACCGAGCAACGCCGCGUGAGUGAAGAAGGUUUUCGGAUCGUAAAGCUCUGUUGUAAGUCAAGAACGAGUGUGAGAGUGGAAAGUUCACACUGUGACGGUAGCUUACCAGAAAGGGACGGCUAACUACGUGCCAGCAGCCGCGGUAAUACGUAGGUCCCGAGCGUUGUCCGGAUUUAUUGGGCGUAAAGCGAGCGCAGGCGGUUUGAUAAGUCUGAAGUUAAAGGCUGUGGCUCAACCAUAGUUCGCUUUGGAAACUGUCAAACUUGAGUGCAGAAGGGGAGAGUGGAAUUCCAUGUGUAGCGGUGAAAUGCGUAGAUAUAUGGAGGAACACCGGUGGCGAAAGCGGCUCUCUGGUCUGUAACUGACGCUGAGGCUCGAAAGCGUGGGGAGCGAACAGGAUUAGAUACCCUGGUAGUCCACGCCGUAAACGAUGAGUGCUAGGGUGUUGGAUCCUUUCCCGGGAUUCAGUGCCGCAGCUAACGCAUUAAGCACUCCGGCCUGGGGGAGUACGAACCGCAAGGUUGAAACUCCAAAGGAAUUGACGGGGGGCCCGCACAAACCGGUGGAAGCAAGUGGGGUUUAAUUCCGAAACAACCGCGAAGAAACCUUUCCCAGGGCCUUGGAAUCCCGGAGGGUAUUUCUUAAAAAAUAGAAAAGUUACUUCGGUACAUCGGUGACAGGUGGUGCAUGGUUGUCGUCAGCUCGUGUCGUGAGAUGUUGGGUUAAGUCCCGCAACGAGCGCAACCCUUACUGUCAGUUACUACGCAAGAGGACUCUGGCAGGACUGCCGUUGACAAAACGGAGGAAGGUGGGGAUGACGUCAAAUCAUCAUGCCCUUUAUGACUUGGGCUACACACGUACUACAAUGGCGUUAAACAAAGAGAAGCAAGACCGCGAGGUGGAGCAAAACUCAGAAACAACGUCCCAGUUCGGACUGCAGGCUGCAACUCGCCUGCACGAAGUCGGAAUUGCUAGUAAUCGUGGAUCAGCAUGCCACGGUGAAUACGUUCCCGGGCCUUGCACACACCGCCCGUC
rnacentral:rRNA from 1 species